AUGCCCAGGGGCCAUUUCUUGAAGACAACUGAACGGAGGCACUUGAAAAUGGUCAUGAUAGCAUCCUGCAUCGUCAUGAGAGACCUGAAAUGCCAUGCACGGGGGUUCCCUAACCAGGAGGUACUGAAGUUGACUCUGGUAAAGCUAGUGAGGCCAAGGCGGUGGGGCCGCGCGGAACAUCAGGCCCAACGCAAAGCCUCACCUUGGAUGGACCUCACCCUCCUCCUCCUUCCCUGGGGGCUCCGCUCCAACCUUGCCACUGGCCCCGCCCCCCCAUCCCCUCUCAGGUACCGGUUCUGUGUGCGCCCCGCGUGGUGCUGCCAAGGCCAGAAGGAGGCUCCCAUGCACACAUCCAUCCGUUCGUCCAACGGCUGCAAGGGGGUCUCACAACCUCCUGGGACCCCUGAAGACCUAGCUGUGGCAGAGCCAGAUGGCUGCCUGGUCACUGGGCCAGGUCGCAUUUUGGCAGGGAGAAAGGGCUGGGAGAGGGAUGAUGAAAUAGCUCCCUGGUACCCUGGUGGAGUUCUUCCUCAGAGGAAGGCCCAGGAGUUACUGAUGCUUGCCCUGAAGUCAGAUGAGGGGCUCUGGGGAUCCCCAAGGAGGCUGUUAGCGGGCACCUCUGAGAAACCCAAGGGAACUUCUCACAGUGUCCUGUGCCACCAGUGCAGGAUGAAAUCCCAGCUGUGCCCAAAACCACCUCAGCAUGGUUCGUCCCACUGUGCCAUUCCAGGGAUGGAGAAGCUGCCUGUCUCUUCUAGGGCUGCUAGCACUCUGGAAGGCUCCACCCUCCAUGGGCUCCUAGAGUCUCCUUCUUACCUCAAACUACAGCCAGUUCAUGGCUAUGUCUGGCCCACGAUUGGCGCAGCACCACCUCAGGUCCUCCACUGCGUCAGCUGCUCUGAUGCUCUGCUCUCAGUUGUGAACACAGGUGUCGUGAAAGCCACCGCUAAAUCGAAGCCAAACGGGAAAGGAAAAUACAUUAACAUCGUUGUCAUUGGACACGUAGAUUCGGGCAAGUCUACCACUACUGGCCAUCUGAUCUACAAAUGUGGUGGGAUCGACAGAAGAACAAUUGAAAAUUUUGAGAAGGAAGCUGCUGAGAUGGGAAAGGGCUCCUUCAAGUAUGCCUGGGUCUUGGAUAAACUGAAAGCUGAACGUGAGUGUGGUAUCACCAUUGUCAUCUCCUGGUGGAAAUUUGAGACCAGCAAGUAUUAUGUGACUAUCAUUAAUGCCCCAGGACACAGAGACUUUAUCAAAAACAUGAUUAUAGGCACAUCUCACGCUGACUGUGCUGUCCUGAUUGUUGCUGCUGGCAUUGGUGAAUUUGAAGCUGGUAUCUCCACGAAUGGGCAGACCCGUGAGCAUGCCCUUCUGGCCUGCACACUGGGUGUGAAACAACUAAUCGUUGGUGUUAACAAAAUGGAUUCCACCUAGCCACUCUACAGUCAGAAGAGAUAUGAGGAAAUUGCCAAGGAAGUCAGCAUUACAUUAAGAAAAUUGGCUACAACCCUGUUACAGUAGCAUUUGUGCCAAUUUCUGGUUGGAAUGGUGACAACAUGUUGGAGCCAAGUGCUAAUAUGCCUUGGUUCAAGGGAUGGAGAGUCACCUGUAAAGAUGGCAGUGCCAGUGGAACCACAUUGCUUGAAGCUUUAGAUUGCAUCCUGCCACCAACUCGUCCAACUGACAAGCCUUUGCGUCUGCCCCUCCAGGAUGUCUACAAAAUUGUUAGUAUUGGUACUGUCCCUGUGGGCCGAGUGGAGACUGGUGUUCUCAAGCCUGGCAUGGUGGUCACCUUUGCUCCAGUCAAUGUCACAACUGAAGUAAAGUCUGUUGAAAUGCACCAUGAAGCUCUGAGUGAAGCUCUUCCUGGAGACAAUGUGGGCUUCAAUGUCAAGAACGUGUCUGUCAAAGAUGUUUGACGUGGCAAUGUUGCUGGUGACAGCAAAAAUGACCCACCAAUGGAAGCAGCUGGUUCCACUGCUCAGGUGAUUAUCCUGAACCAUCCAGGCCAAAUCAGUGCUGGCUAUGCUUCUGUACUGGAUUGUCACACAGCUCACAUUGCUUGCAAUGUGAAAGAAAAGAUUGAUCGCUAUUCUGGUAAGAAGCUGGAAGAUGGCCCUAAAUUCUUGAAAUCUGGUGAUGCUGCCAUCGUUGAUAAUGGUUCCAGGAAAGCCCAUGUGUGUUGAGAGCUUCUCUGACUAUCCUCCUCUGGGUCGUUUUGCUGUUCGAGAUAUGAGGCAGACAGUUGCUGUGGGUGUCAUCAAAGCAGUGAACAAGAAGGCUUUAUUUGGGAACUAAAUCCAAGUCUGCCCAGAAAGCUCAGAAGACCAAAUGAAUAUUACCCCUAAUACCUGCCACCCCAGUCUUAAUCAGUGGUGGAAGAAUGAUCUCAGAACUGUUUGUCUCAAUUGGCCAUUUAAGUUUAAUAGUAAAAGACUGGUUAAUGAUAACAAUGCAUCAUAAAAACCUUCAGAAGGA